rnacentral:rRNA from 1 species
UACGGGGGGGGCAAGCGUUGUUCGGAAUUACUGGGCGUAAAGGGCGCGUAGGCGGCCUUCUAAGUCGGACGUGAAAUCCCUCGGCUCAACCGAGGAACUGCGUCCGAUACUGGAGGGCUUGAAUCCGGGAGAGGGAUGUGGAAUUCCAGGUGUAGCGGUGAAAUGCGUAGAUAUCGGGAAGAACACCAGUGGCGAAAGCGCUCUACUGGGCCAUAACUGACACUGAGGGACGAAAGCUAGGGGAGCGAAAGGG